UACGUAGGUGGCAAGCGUUGUCCGGAAUUACUGGGUGUAAAGGGUGCGCAGGCGGGUAUUCAAGUCAGCUGUGAAAACUAUGGGCUCAACCCAUAGACUGCAGUUGAAACUGUAUAUCUUGAGUGAAGUAGAGGUAAGCGGAAUUCCAAGUGUAGCGGUGAAAUGCGUAGAUAUUUGGAGGAACACCAGUGGCGAAGGCGGCUUACUGGGCUUUUACUGACGCUGAGGCACGAAAGCAUGGGGAGCAAACAGGAUUAGAUACCCUGGUAGUCCAUGCUGUAAACGAUGAUUACUAGGUGUGGGGGGACUGACCCCUUCCGUGCCGGAGUUAACACAAUAAGUAAUCCACCUGGGGAGUACGGCCGCAAGGUUGAA
rnacentral:rRNA from 1 species